CCCAGUUCGGACUGUAGUCUGCAACCCGACUACACGAAGCCGGAAUCGCUAGUAAUCGCGGAUCAGAAUGCCGCGGUGAAUACGUUCCCGGGUCUUGUACACACCGCCCGUCACACCAUGGGAGUCGGAAAUGCCCGAAGUCAGUGACCCAACCGGAAGGAAGGAGCUGCCGAAGGUGGAGCCGGUAACUGGGGUGAAGUCGUAACAAGGUAGC
rnacentral:rRNA from 1 species